UACAGAGGUGGCAAGCGUUGUUCGGAAUUACUGGGCGUAAAGGGCGCGUAGGCGGCCUUCUAAGUCAGACGUGAAAUCCCCCGGCUUAACCUGGGAACUGCGUCUGAUACUGGGAGGCUUGAGUAUGGGAGAGGGAUGUAGAAUUCCAGGUGUAGCGGUGAAAUGCGUAGAUAUCGUGAGGAAGACCAGUGGCGAAGGCGGGUCUCUGGACAGUUCCUGACGCUGAGGCGCGAAGGCCAGGGGAGCAAACGGG
rnacentral:rRNA from 1 species